rnacentral:lncRNA from 1 species
CUUGGCUGUUGUGUAUCUUUGAGGGAGAAUGCACAGCUGAGGCUGGGAUUGCAUCAGUUGGGCUGAACACUUAGAUGGCGACAACUGAAAAUUACCACCAGCCAGCAGGGGUUGACUGAAGCAGUGUGACUGAACGAGAGCAAAUUGCUUGCAACCACAGAUGUCCCUGCGGUUCUGCAGUUCACAGAUGAAGACGAUUUCCUCUCCCCUGAGUGUGCUGUUCUCUCUCUUGGCUCCAGGCUGUUGAACAUGUUGUUCCCUCCACCUGGAAAGCUUCUCUUUCACUCCCUGGCCCUUUACCUGAGCCUUAUUCAUGGUUUAAGUUUCAGUGGAAAUAGCACAGCUCUCAGGAAGCCUUCUCCAAGCCCCUGGGGCCCAGGAAUGAUGCUCCUCGUCUACAGCCACUUGGUCCCAAGACUUGCCUCUGGUCCAGCGCUCCCAUGGGCAUGGUCCUCGCCUAUGCACAAGGAGACCUGGAGGGCAGGGGCUGUGUUUUGCUUUUGUUUUGUUGUCAGUCCUGGGUGCCUGGCACAUAGGAAGGUGCUUACAAAGGUUUGGAAUUGAUCAAAAUCGGUCGGAGAACUUCAUUUUACCCUUGGAUUUCCUAUGCAUAUAAUUCAACGGGAACCUCCCUAUUUUAUUGAAAGCAUAUGACAGACCAAAACGCCACAGAUAUGAAAGAAAGGUAAGUAAUCCAUUAUUAAAAAUAGCUGUUACCUGAGCCUGGUGCUGUGCAAAUCCUAAAACAAGGUAGGUUUGUUCUCCUGAGACCGUGGAUUAAAAGGACUGCCUCAUUGAUUGUGGCUUAAAAAGAUUCUCUCAUCAAGCAGAGUAUGUGUGUCUCUCUCUCCCAGAAUUAAUUCUCGAUAUGACUCCAGCUGAUGGAAAUGCAGCAUCUUCAGGAGCCAGACCGCUUCGUUAUACUCUUAGGGUUCUGGCUUAGCAACUGCUCAUUCCCAUUCCUAGAUAAUAACAGCUAACUCUAAGUCGUGCUUACUAUGUGCCAGGCACUGUUCUAAGCACUGCGCAUAUAAUAACGCACUUAACCUUUACAAGAACUUUGUGAGGUAAUCACUAUUAUUAUCAUUAUUAUGCCCAUUUUAUGAGUAAGGAAGCAAGCACAGAGAGGUUAAGUAACCUGCCCAAGGUUACAACAGAUAAAACAUGGUAGAGCUGGGAUUCAAACCGGGGCAGUCUGGCUUCAGAGUCUAUGCUCUUAAUUACUAUGCUACAUUGCUUCUUAACCCUGAAAUCAACACUUGAACUUUAAAAAUCAGCUCUAGACGCAACAGCUGAUACUGGGUUGAGGAUCCCAUUGUAGGGGUCACUGUGAACAAGAGACCCUUCCCCCAGGUGACAGCAAAUGAUGAGGCUAAGGCCAGUGGCUCAACACCUGAGCCCCAAGCCUUGGGGAGUCCCCUGCCAAGCGCAGUGGUGUGCUAGAGUAGGCUUCUACUGCUUAGGACACAACCACCAAUUGUCGACUAGUCAGGAACGCUGCAUCCAGUGUUAGACUGUCGAUGGCUUGAAAUCAGCCACACUAGGAGUAUUUACACCACAGAAAUUGGCAAACACUACAAAUCAGAGACCAUAUCCCCAAACACUGUCCCUGCUGGAGGAUGCUGAUGGAGGAUUUCAAUCAUCUUGACUGAAAGAGCCUAGUGUGAGCCUGGAGAAUGUUUUUUACUUUCCCAGGGCCUGGCUGAGCUGGCCUGGAUUAGAUCUAUAAGAUGUUUUCAAUUGCUGGUAUCUGCAUGAAGGCUUUCUUUGAAGGCAUGGAAAGCCACUCUGCCUAAUGAAAGGCGGCCCAGAGUGUCAAGGAAUCAACAUCCCCCGGCUCCCACUAACCCCAGAACCUCUCCACCCAGGGCAGGGAACAAGGGUGUUCCUCUGGCCAUUAGUGCGGGUCUUCUCAAGGUAGGCCUUUUCUGUGGUCCCCGGAGCUUCCACACAGCCUUCAGCUACAGUCACUCAGAGCAGUAGUUGACGUGGUAACUCAGCCUUUAUGUGCUGUCCUCAAUUCACAGGCUCAACUUCCUGUCUUCCUCCUGGUAUUUCUUGCACCUCCCAACUAAACUUGUAGUCCAGUUCUUUUCGGAGAGUGCUUUCGGGAACGCCCCAACUAAGAGGGGCUGAAUGGGCAGUCCCCAGUGCUUGGUGUGCAAAGGUGGGGAGUCCUGGCCAAAGCGCUGGGCUGCCUCAGCCCUCUCCCAGUGCUAGUCCUGCUCCCUGACUCUUGCUCUGUAUUUUAGAGACUCUCUUCCAUGGCUUUGCUGGCCCUGCUGCCCAGUUUCGUGGUCUGGGCCCUGCUGCCCACCAUGCUCCUGGAGGUGAUGGUACACUGCUGACUGCCCAGCCUGCGGCUCAGGGGCAUGCCCAUUUCUCCAAGGAAGACCCUGUAGCAUCUAAAAGAGUUUCCCUGCAUGCAAGGAGGGACAUGAGCUCAUUAUCAUCAUUCUGACACUAGCUGCCAGGCGUUUCCCUCUAAGCCCAGAGUUGAGAUCGUCUGAGUCUCCUUCCAGGAGUGCAACAUGAACUUGGCAGAAGGAAUCCACAAGUUUGCGUGGGUGUGACAGAACAGACAUCACUAGCAGAACGUUUUGGGAAGCAGUCUGUCUAAACUGGACUUUUCCCGGGCCCGGCAGGGAGCAGAGAGCAUGAGCCGAUACGUUUGAUUGUGGCGAUCCCCUCUAUCCUUUAGAUUGCUUCCAACUCAGAGCUAAGGCCUGCGCUUGGCUGGAGGAGUGCUCAGCGCUAACAGCACGUUUUCAUUCUCCAGAACAGCCAAGAGGGGAAGUGCGGGAGGAAUUGAGGAGUCAGGGCUUCCGAGCCACUCUGACCCAAGAGCCCAGCUGGAGGGACAGGCAGGGGCGUGGCUCCCUCCCAGGCCACUGGAGCUCUACCCGCCCUGUCCUGUAUCACUCCCAUUUCUCCAGAGCCUGACUUCUAAAUGUAGAUUGUGUAUUUUGUUAAGUCCUGUGUUUGUUUUCUGACUUUGGUAAAAAGCUGUAGGUGGGAGCAAAAUGAUCUGUUGAAGAAAUUUAAAAGCAAAUUUAUUCAAGCGCACAAUAUGGAGUUAUUUCACAUCCUGGGACAAAGGAAAAGUGAGCACCAAGAGGGAAACUGACUGUGGCCUGUGGGCAGCAGAAGUUAACACCAUAUUCACUGUAAGAAUUGAACUCACUGCAGUUACCAGGAGUGUUUCAUUCCUACCUAACACCUCUGCUAGUGAAAUAUAGCAGACACAAGUUUAAGCCUGGCACGGGGAGCUUUUCUGAAGACCAUCAUGUGUGCUGUGUUUGUCUAUGGACAGAUGUGUGUUCUCCCUAGACCGUGAGUACCCCACGGCCUCAGGGCCUUCCACUUGGCCCUGAAGGUGCAAUUAGCGAGAGCUCAAGGAAGUUGCUUGUGAGGGAAGAGUGACUGCCUGUCUCCUGCUCCCCUUUUCCUCCUUUUACCUCUUAGUAGAGCCCAUGCCCCAUUUUUAUUGUAUAACUUAACGGAAUGAAUCCAAUGGUGCUGUUCAGACAGCAGAGCGAGCAGGGGAGGGUGUGGGGCCAUCAGAGACUGGGGAGAGGAUCUUACCCGGCGGAGUGUCCCAGUUCCCUUCAGGAAUCAUGCUGUGCAAGCAACCAGCCAUUGGCCUCAGACGUGGGCUGGACCGUGAGUCUGUUGAGUCAACUGUGACUAAAAGAUAUGCUAGUUCUAAU